AGUGCCGUAGAUAUGAGGAACCCGUAAGAGGAAGAGAAGGUCCUAUCAACCCGAUGGCAACGAAAAACAGGUUUUUUAGGUAUACCUUAUUUUUGUGGUUUAUCUUAUUAUUGGCGGUUAAAAGAAAUUCAGAGUUUCAUAGAUAAGAGGAACCCGCAAAAGGAAGUGAAGGUCCUAUCUUUUCUAUCUGUUAAAUCGCCACAUCGCCAGCGUUCGUAUGCAUGCUUGUUGUGAUGGCUUGGUAAUUUCACGUGCCGAAAUUUUACUGCAUGGAAUAGAAGUCUAAUCUGUUGUGUGGUUCAUGAUUCAUGUACAGGAAAGACUGGAAUCAUCUCUGUGUACCACAUACAAUUGGCUGAUUGUGGAGAGGAUAAACUUGGUGAAACAGUAGCUAGAGAACUGCCUAUUUAGAUAGUUUAUUAAACUUUCUAUAUAGAUGUCUUUAAAAUUGUUAUCUUUUUAUUGCUUUUCCAAGUUCGGUAUGUUGUAAUCAUAUCAUUUGUUCACGUGUCGAGUAGCUCGGUUGGGGGGAGGAGGAAGUAAGAGUUUGAUUAUUUUAGCAUAUUAAUAAUUUAUUUACAAACAAUAUUUACAGACAUCAAUAACUGCAUCAUUCUUCACAUCAGGCUCAUUUGGCGCGCACCUCUACGCUCUCUCACAUUUGCAAAACAGACACAGCAGUUGUGGCGCUGCGCCACCUGCCGGACAUUAAGGGGAAAAUGUUAACUUUCGGGCAUCCUGAUGAUACAAUUGUCCUCAAUUGACACUUACUUAACAAAAGAUACAUACAUCGAUUAUUACAUAAUAGAUAUAGACAAUUAACAUUUUUUUUCAUA
rnacentral:misc_RNA from 1 species